AUUUACCAUAUGAAUGAAGAGGAAUGUGUCAUUGGAAGUGGAAGAGAGUGUAAUAUAAAAGUGUCCCUAACAAAUGUUGACAAUAUUCAUGCAGUUGUUGCAGUUGACAGAUUCAAGGCUUCCGUAACAAAUUUUAGUAAAAAGUUUCCUGUCAUUCUCAAUGGAAAACCAAUUGAAAUUGGCAAAGAAUUGAAUGAUGGAGAUAUGUUGGUCAUUGGUGGCAGA